rnacentral:rRNA from 1 species
AACGAACGCUGGCGGCAGGCCUAACACAUGCAAGUCGAACGCCCUAGCAAUAGGGAGUGGCAGACGGGUGAGUAACGCGUGGGAACGUGCCCUUCAGUUCGGGAUAACCCAGGGAAACUUGGGCUAAUACCGGAUACGUGCGAGAGCAGAAAGAUUUAUCGCUGAAGGAUCGGCCCGCGUCCGAUUAGCUAGUUGGUGAGGUAAUGGCUCACCAAGGCGACGAUCGGUAGCUGGUCUGAGAGGAUGAUAAGCCACACUGGGACUGAGACACGGCCCAGACUCCGACGGGAGGCAGAAGUGGGGAAUAUUGGACAAUGGGCGCAAGCCUGAUCCAGCCAUGCCGCGUGAGUGAUGAAGGCCCUAGGGUUGUAAAGCUCUUUCGCCAGGGACGAUAAUGACGGUACCUGGAUAAGAAGCCCCGGCUAACUUCGUGCCAGCCGCCGCGGUAAUAC